ensembl:lncRNA C5orf64 chromosome 5 putative open reading frame 64
AGUCCCUGGAGCUGCAAACUGCCCUCAGGGCAAAGAAGCCUGCAGAAUAAUUGGGAGGAGUCUGGCAGGAAGGAAGCCAAGGCCACCGUAUUACAGAGGCCCAUAUGGAACCAGCUGGUCUGAGACAAGCCCAGGUUCUGGGCCAAAGCAAAACAGGCAGGUGUUUGCUCAACCUCUGCUAAAGGUCUAUUUUUAAGGCUAGAUGCUGAAUUAGGAGAAGAAGCUUAUGAAUUGAAUAAAAUACUAUUUGCCAUCAAAACCCCUUUGAAUUUUAGCUAGUAAUUCACCCAUAAAGUGCCACCCACCAGGGAGCCUCAUACGGUUUCAUAAAUACAUAUGAGAGCUGCUGUGGAGAGAGAUGGAGCCCGACGCAGGCACCGGACACAACAUCCCACAGCUUCCCCAUGGCUUUCAGAAAGCUUGCAGAUAUUUCUCUCUUCUGUUCUGAACUCUCCACAGAGAAAUCUGUCAAGGGAGAAAGCAAUGACUUUGCUCUCACUGGGCCAGAAAUUCCAUGGCUGAAAUGACCCAGGGGUAGCAGGCGGGUUUGACAAUCUGUCAGUUUCUGGAUAGUGUUACUCGUCAGUCACUCAUUUUUGCUAAAUUGCAGAAACUCUUUUCUUUAAAUGAAACUUUAUUUGCUCAUGAUGCAGGUUAAGCCCAGUUUCUGGCAUGUGUCCAGGGAAUUGGGUGUGCCACCCUGUCCACUUGGUCAUGGGGAAACCGUUAAGUCAGCCUUCAGUCUGGACAUCUCUGCUCAAGGCUUUAGUUAAUUUUUCUUCCCAUCUGAGACUUAACCGCUGGGACUGUUUUACAUAUGAAGAUAAGAAAACAACCGAAACUUGAUUUUGCUCUAUGGAGAUAAAAAUAAGGUAGCAUUUUAUUCAAGAAGAAUGUGUGUAAUAACAGUAAUCUGAAAAUAAUGAUAUCUAUAAGGUCUUUGGCAAAGCCACCCAGGAAAAGAAAAACAAUAGAUGUGAAAGCUUCAGUGAGUCAUAACACCACCUUUCAGCAUCAAAAUGCCCUGGAAUCAGAUUCAGAUAAACUGGUUUCAUCAGCUCUAGACUCAGCUGUAUGCGUCCCUUUUUAUUCCUUGUGCCGAUUGCACAUUCUCCAGAUAAUGGCAAGGUAUUGGCUCUCCUUCAAAACACUCAAUUGUGCAGCAGAGGAAAGAAAAGGAUUCCUUGUAAGCUUUUUCAUGUCUAAACACAAAAAUAGCUCUCUUCCUGGGCCUGCCCAGUGGGCUUCCUUUCCCUCUGGACAUCUACAGAGUACUGCUGACUGGACUAGUGUUCAUCAAAGGUGGUCUGUGGACCACGUGUAUUCGAAUAGUUUAAAAGCUUAUUUAAAAUGCAGAUUUCUGGGACUCACUGGAGACCUAGUGAAUCUGAUCUCCUAGGUAGAGCCAAGGACUGUGCAUUUUUAACGGCUCCACACCCCAAGGAUUCUAAGGCAUCCUAGGGUUUAGGGGCCACUGGGUUUGUCCAGCCAUACAGCCCUCACCUUAUCCUGCUGCCUGCGUUGUCACUUGGCUUCCUACAUUUGAGUGUCUCUUCUUCCCAGUGCAAUUCUAAGCACAAGGGAUGCGUUUGAAAUUCUUUCUUUGUCCCUGUUAGUGCCUAGUUCGCUGUAGGUGUUUAAAAAAUUUUUUUGUUGAAUGAAGGACCUGAAAUAAUUUCUCUUUGCUUACAAUUUGUUCAAAGAAACUCUUUUGCCUACAGAAGAUUGGAUCAUGAAUUUGCCAAUUUGAUUUCAAAACAAACGGAUCUCUCUCUCUAUAGACGUGUCUGUGUGUAUGAGUGAAUAUUGCUCUCCUAAACAAAUGUUUUGAGUCAAAGGUCCGCCUUUGUCCAGAAGAGGACAACAAAGGAUAUACCGUUGGGAAAAAAAUUGUAUAACUCAAAACGUGUAAGCAGUCUUUGCCCUUUCUGAGAACCACUGUCAGAAAAGCUCUGUGAAGAUUUUAGGGUAAGGGGUGUCCUAGGGGAAUAGGGGAGUGUGUGUGUGGUGUGGUUGAGGGGAUACUAAAAGCCCAUCUGACUAGCUGCACCUGGCUCUUUGGUCUGUCUCCAUGUGUACAAAUAAAGUCACUUUUCUUCAAGUCAAGGGCACAGCUCAGUGUAUUAGAGUGUCUAACCCCAGAGAUCAGGAAAGAUAUGUUUUGCCAGAGUUAGAGAGCCUGGGGCUGCAGCAGUGCUGGUGGCAGGUCUGGAUGGGGAGUGAGGAUCGAGUUGGGCUCCUGGUGGGGAGGAGAAAAGAUCCCUGGAGAGGGCAGUGGGUGCAGGGCACGUAGAGCCAGCGCCUCCUCUUUCCCAGUCUUGUUCAGAGUUGCCCCUGAGGCAAAACCCAAGAUGAGGCUGCACAACACAUGUGAAGACGGGAGCAUCAGGAAUGAGAGGGAGGGAAAUGGAAGUGAGAGAACAACUCCAGACUCUCCGAGUUGGAUCUAACCUCACUUGGCUAGACCUGCCCUUGGGAUUUUGGAAUCUGAUCUGCAACCUCCUGAACAUCUUGUUUGAGGAGUCCUAGGGUAGGGAUGCACACUCCCUCACAGCUACAGUAGGGAUGAGAAAGUACGUUCAUAGACUGAGCUGUGAUCCACCUGCUGGUGAUUUCUGCCCUUAGCUCAUACCCUUCUCUUUCCUUCCUUUUCUGGACUCUACUUCCUGAGAGAAGGCUCUUUGUCCUCUCUAAGUUUCCUCUUCUGUAGGUUGAAUUUCCCUAGCUACUUCCACUUCUCCUAUGGUGUGCCUCCCUGCCGCUCUUUUUUCCAUGCAUGGACUUUCUAACCCCAGGCUGCCUCUGUCUUCCAGUGGGGCCCUCACUGUUUCUGUCAGCAGCACCUGCAAUUUCUCAGUCAGCCAGGCUUGGACAAUUGAACUUAGCCUUGCCUCCUUCUUCUCUCUUAUCCUGAAGCUGUUGGGAAUUGCGUGUGCACACGCAUGUGUGUGUACACGUGUGUGUGCACAGUUCUCCAUAGGAGGUUUGCACAUUUGUGACUGUUUUUGUCCUGGAGAAGUCCCCAAGGCAGAAAGCAAAAAUGUAGCUGGUCUAAGCUUGAGGUGGGUCAUGCCUGUGGCUGGACUCUCUCAAGGAGAGCCUGAAAGCAUGUGGAACUGCCCACCACAGCCGAGGCUGAAGCCAGAGGAGAGCUGCGGCCAGGGGAUGUGUAUAGCACCAAAAGUGGCUACUAUACAGAACCCCACACCUGCUUAAAGCCUUGCCAAGAUGUGUUUUCCAUUGCUGUCAGGAUGAGUUGUGUGUCUUAUUUUUGCAGACAAGGCCUUUCCUGAAUGAUACAGUUUGGACAUUUGUCCCUUCCAAAUCUCAUGUUGAAAUAUGACCCCCUGUGUUGGAGGUGGGGCCUGGUGGGAGGUAAUGGGAUCAUGGGAGCAGACCCCUCAUGGAUGGCUUGGUGCAGUCCUUGCAAUAGUGAGUUCUCAUGAGAUUUGCUUGUUUAAAAGUGUGUGACGUCUCCCUCUUCUCUCUCUUGCUCCUGCUCUCUUCAUGCGACACACCUGCUCCCCCUUCACCUUCUGCCAUGAUUGUAAGUUUCCUGAGGCCCUCACCAGAAGCUCAUCAGAAGCAGAUGCUGGCACCACUCUUCUUAUGCUGUCUGCGUA